rnacentral:misc_RNA from 1 species
CGCACCUUGCGCUCUUGGGUAUUCCCAAGAGCAUGCCUGUUGGAGUGUCAUGAAUCCUCUUCCUCUCGUGUUUUUUAUGAACGCGACGAGAAAGGAUGUGAGUGUUUGGUCUUUUUGGCCUCACUUGAAAUAGAGUAGUGGGCUGUGCGAGACGCGCAUGCGCCAGAAUCAUCGUUAUGAUUUCUUAUCGAUGACGAAUGGCUGCGAGCGAGUCGAGCAAAGUAAGCUCCGCUUUCUAACCUCAUCUAUACACAAUCUGGCCUCCAAUCAGGUAGGACUACCCGCUGAACUUAA